rnacentral:sRNA from 1 species
GCUGGGUGUGGUGGCACAUGCCUGUAAUCCCAGCUACUCGGGAGGCUGAGGCAGGAGACUCGCUUGAAGCUGAGAGGCGGAGCUUGCAGUGAGCCGAGAUCAUGCCACUGCACUCUAGCCUGGGCAACAGACUCCGUCUCAAAAAAAAAGAAGACAGAGUCUCACCCUGUUGCCUAGGCUGGAGUGCAGUGGCAUGAUCUCUGCUCACUACAACCUCUGCCUCCUGGACUCAAGCGAUUCUCAUGCCUCA